UUUCAUCCAUGAUGGCGGGCAUCAGAUCAAUGGCAUGGAUGAACUAGUAAUGAGCCCUAAAUUUACAGAUUAUGAACCAAACAGGGAAGUUUCAUGUUGGUGACAAACAUGGAACUCAGCAUUUAAAAAAUGAUAUUUAAAAUCUUGCCAAAGUAUAAUUAUAUUAGUAAAUAAAAAUUUACUAAAAUACCUUUAAAAUAGUAAGGCCUUUUUUGGUAGAAACCUAAAAAUGAGCUCAUCUCAUGUUAGUGUUGAUUGACAUGUUGGAUUUCAUAUCAGUUUUCCUCCAACUUUUUAAUAAACUUAGAUGUUUGUGGUGUAUUGUCUUACAAUGUCUACAAAAUGCAGGUUAAUCUUUCUACUGGUCAAAUGAUGGAUUUGAUACCUUGAUGCUUAUCAAACGCAGCCAAUAGGCACAAUCAGUGGAAGGGACUGUUUGGUAGGUUGGAUUGGGAAGGAAACUUCCCAACUACCAUCACAGACCCUCAACCCAUGGGUAAGGUUGGCAUGUGCUUUCACCUAUGCCUGGUGUUUACUAUCCCCCAUAUAGAAUGGGAUUCAUCCUAUGCCUGGUAACUCCUCUCCAUUCUUGACAUUUGGUGGGUUUUAAUAGGGAAAGCAUGAACAUACCCCGAUAUUCCAACAGAUGAGCAAUCCCAAUCAUGAUCCCUUGUUCUUAGAAAUGGCCAUUUUAUGCAUGUAAUCUUGAAAUUACAAAAAUAAUAAUAAUAAUAAUAAUAAAAUAAAAUUGAUGAUCCCCCCAAAUUUUGAUUCUACAGUUUUGCUAGAGUUUUACAGACCUUGGUGUGCAAGAAACUAGCACCAAUCUUAAUUGAAGUCGCAGUCUCAUUUAAAUCUGAUGAGGACGUGAUCAUUACAAAAUGCUCCUCUGAUUAAGGUAUUGUGGACGGAGUCAGCCACACAGUCCCAAUCUAUGAAGGUUAUGCUCAUAGAUCUCAGAAGAAACAUAAUGAAUCACCAUCAUCAACAUCAUCUAAAGCUAUCUAUCUAUCUUAUUCUAAAAAAUAUCCCUGCUAAUGCGGACUGUAAACUGAAGAUUUGUGAUUUUGGUCUUGCAUGUGUAUCAUUCAAUGAUGCUCCAUCAGCUAUUUUCUGGAUUGUAUGUUGCUCUUCCGUGUUGUGUUUGAUGCCUGUUAUUUGCAGCUUCUGACCAUGAUUAAUAUCUGGCCUUUUGGA